rnacentral:rRNA from 1 species
GACGAACGCUGGCGGCGUGCUUAACACAUGCAAGUCGAGCGAUGAAACUCCUUCGGGAGUGGAUUAGCGGCGGACGGGUGAGUAACACGUGGGUAACCUGCCUCAUAGAGGGGAAUAGCCUUCCGAAAGGAAGAUUAAUACCGCAUAAGAUUGUAGUACCGCAUGGUACAGCAAUUAAAGGAGUAAUCCGCUAUGAGAUGGACCCGCGUCGCAUUAGCUAGUUGGUGAGGUAACGGCUCACCAAGGGGACGAUGCGUAGCCGACCUGAGAGGGGGAUCGGCCACAUUGGGACUGAGACACGGCCCAGACUCCUACGGNNNGCAGCAGUGGGGANUAUUGCACAAUGGGGGAAACCCUGAUGCAGCAACGCCGCGUGAGUGAUGACGGUCUUCGGAUUGUAAAACUCUGUCUUCAGGGACGAUAAUGACGGUACCUGAGGAGGAAGCCACGGCUAACUACGUGCCAGCCGCCGCAGUAA